ACGGGGUGCAGCAGGCGCGAAAACUGCACAAUGUGGGCAACCACGAUGCGGGAAGCCCAAGUGCCAGCGCUAUGCGUUGGCUGUCCUCAACCGCUCAUUGGUUGGGAAGAAAGUGCUGGUAAGACGGGUGCCAGCAGCCGCGGUAA
rnacentral:rRNA from 1 species